AUAAGAUAAGGCCAUUUUCAACACAAUAAAAUGAAGGCUGGUUUUGUGUUCUUAUUUUGGCUAUUACUCUUCGAAGGAUUUGACUGCGAUUGUCGGGAUGGAUGGGUGAAGCAUGGUGCCUCGUGUUACUAUUUUAGUCAUGAUACCGAAACGUGGAUAGGCGCCACGCAAAUAUGUAAGGCUCUACAAGGCUCGUUGGUAACGAUAGAAUCACAACAGGAAAACGACUUUCUGACAAGCCAAAUACAUACACUUAAAC